CCUCUGUUCAACCCUUAGCAUGAUGGAUUUCUAGGGUUUCUUCGUACUCUUCUUGAGAGACGUCCCUCGAUGAAAGCUUCCCCUGUGACUACGCUCUCGGCCGCUUCCUUGCCCAUUGCCCCACUCUCUGCUCUGAUCCUAGACUCCUCUCGCUCGAAAGCUCACUUCUCAAGCUCUCAUUGCUUCCGGCAAAUCCUAAUCAGUGUUGUUCCCUAUAGCUUCGACACGGGUGGUGGUGGCCUCUUCCUCCUCGGUGGCAACCUCUGAUAUCAUGGCGAGGGGUAUUGGAUCCAUCGGUGCGGAUGAGCUUCUCUGAAACAUUUAUGGCGAUAUGAUGGUUGAAGGGAGAACGGUGGAGGAGAUGUGGAGGGAAAUGCCUGGUGGACGGAGGAGAGAAAAUGGGGAGAUGAUGUUGAAGGAUUUUUUAGCACUGGCUGGGGCGGUGAGGAAGGAGGAUGUGAGGACUGUGACGGGAUCGGUGUUUGGGUUGGAUCCGAUAGGUUUGGGGAUUGAGAAUCAGGUGCUAGGGUUUGGAAAUGGGGUGAAGGAGGGUGGAGAUUUGGGAAGGGUUGCAAAAGGAAGGAAGAGGUCAGCCAUGGAUCUGGUGGAUCGGGUUGCCUUGCAGUGGCAGAAGCGAAUGAUCAAGAGCCAGGAAUCGGGGGUGAGAUCCAAAGAGAGGAAGCAGGUUGCUUUUACUUGCAAUAUUAGCACAACCAGUGUGUCUCUUGAGGGUGAUUUUUCCAGCCAGGUGGUCUCCUUACCAGUGGCGGCCGAUGGCAAGCAUUCUUCUACCAUCAUCUUAAUUCUUACUGUGAGGUGGGGUGAAUUGUUAAAGCAGCUUCAUGUCCUAGCUGAGGCAAAGUCAAAACUUUCCCUCCAUUAAAACAGAUUGACAUGAGAAGUAAAUGACAAGUACCUAUGAUGUUUGAUCUUCCUGGAUAUCAAGGUCUUCCCACAUUGCUCUGCAGCCUAUUGUCACUGACAAGGGUUAACUACUUUAGGCUCUGCAACAUCUUCCUCGAUUCUCCAAUUGGCACUUGAUGCUCAUACUUAAAUUGCUACGACAAAUAUAAAUUAGAUGACUACAGAUCUGCCCAAGAUAUCCACACUUUCCUCGGGAAGGAUCGGAGUGCAUCAUCAAACUUGUGAAACUAAUGCACAAUUAGGCAAUCUGAUUACAUAGUUUUUCUUCAUCCUUGAAUUGUUUGUACAGUGUGAUUUGUUGAUCAUCCUGAAUGCAUUUUGAAGCCCAUUCAUAUUGCUAGAGAUUCAUAUUCUGGAAUGAGUUUUGGUAUACUUUGUAGAUAAAACUAUUAUUAAUUUUAAU